rnacentral:rRNA from 1 species
AUUGAACGCUGGCGGAAUGCUUUACACAUGCAAGUCGAACGGCAGCACGGACUUCGGUCUGGUGGCGAGUGGCGAACGGGUGAGUAAUGUAUCGGAACGUGCCCAGUCGUGGGGGAUAACGUAGUGAAAAUUACGCUAAUACCGCAUACGAUCUAUGGAUGAAAGCGGGGGAUCGCAAGACCUCGCGCGAUUGGAGCGGCCGAUAUCAGAUUAGGUAGUUGGUGGGGUAAAGGCUCACCAAGCCAACGAUCUGUAGCUGGUCUGAGAGGACGACCAGCCACACUGGAACUGAGACACGGUCCAGACUCCUACGGGAGGCAGCAGUGGGGAAUUUUGGACAAUGGGCGAAAGCCUGAUCCAGCCAUUCCGCGUGCAGGAUGAAGGCCCUCGGGUUGUAAACUGCUUUUGUACAGAACGAAAAGGUUUCUACUAAUACUAGGGGCUCAUGACGGUACUGUAAGAAUAAGCACCGGCUAACUACGUGCCAGCAGCCGCCGUAA